CAGUCCAUGAUAUAAACGAACUGUAGAGGCAUUUCCCUUCAAUAAUGGGUCCUGCCUGCCAUGUGGAGCUUCUCAUUAGCGAAUAUCUGAAUCAAGCAAUAACACUGAGGAAAUUAGAGAUACGGGUGACGACUGUUACAUUCCUCAGAUAUCUUCAGAUCUAUGAGUGAAAUCAAUUACCAGUUGAAGAGCUGAGGCUGUGAGACCUGUGUUAACAAUGGGGAAACCUUCAUGGGUUCGCACUGUUAUAACACAGUUGUCUCUCUGCUUGGCUGUCUUGCUUGCAUUCAACUUGGGUCGGCCUUGGGAGAAGCCCAUGUCCCACAGCAGCAGUGGCAGUAGCAGGCCUCUUGAUCUUUACUUUAUCAGUGUUAGAGGAGGAUUUAGACCUCUUAAUCAACAGACCCAUCUUCUCAAACAGAUGGAGAAGGCUGCAAAGACUUAUGAGGCAAGGUUUGUGAGAAACAUUAGUGAACUUGGGGAGGACGAUCCACUCACACAGAAUGGUACUUGGUGUUUUUCAACACUGAAAGUUCCCUGGUACAGUACCAGAGUUUCAAGAGGACGAGGAACAGGUUACUUCCUAAAGCAGAUCAAAAUACCUUUUGGGAAAACCUUAGACAUUAUUGCUUUGGAUACUGGGGCAUUUAAGGAUUUUAUGCUUAUGAAUCCGUUAAAUGGUGCUGGAAAUGAUCAAUUACAUGGGCUGACAAAGACACUAGAAACAUCAGAUAGUGACUGGCGCAUAGUUGUUGGUUUCUGCUCAUUGGCUGUUUGUGAAGGAAACAGGGAACGAAUAGAAAUACAACUUUAUGAGCAUCUACACCAUAUUUUUUAUGAGUUUGGAGUGGAUGUGUACCUGAGUGGGGAGGGAUGUAGUGACUAUGCUCGUAAAGAUAGUAUAGCCUACGUCAGGAACCCAGGUUCAAUAGAUGAAAAACUUCCUCUUGCUUCUGUAAAUGGAAUAUCAGGUUUUAGUAAGGGAAUGGUUAAUGGGUUCCUUCUUCAUAGAGUCAGCUCCUUAGAGGUUGUGAGUAUUCAUCUUUUUGGACUAAAUUUGUUCUUGUUGAAGCACCAAAAAAUGUUCUUUUUCCAUGGCAGGAAACCUACUUUGUUAACUCAGCAGGGGAAGUUGUGCAUGAUAUAGUACUUCAACAGAGGGGCAAGGCAGCCAUGUAAUUUCUCAGCAAGGGUACCGAAUCUAUUCAUUCUUUGAAGCCAUGGAAACUGUUAGGUGUAAAUAAGGAGGAGGAGGAGGAGCUAGCUUUGGAUGAUGGGCUAACCAUUUUGGUUUGCAUCUUCACAUAUUGAUAAAAGGGCUUGGCAGCCAUGGGAAGAUGGAGGUCUGGCAUUGCCUAUACUGACAUUUGGUAAUGAAGAAGUAAUUCUGCUUUCAUGGGGCUAUAAAUAGGUACCAUGGGACCACAUAAAUCUAUGUGGACAAGGCUUGUUAUUUUUGCAGAUCUGCCUUGACCAGGCUCUCAUCAAGUAAUCUCUUCCUUUCCUUCUUUCAUUUUGUUCAACCAUUCUGGAGCUAGUAGAUAUGAAGCUUGGUUAUUUGGGAACUUGGGAGUAGAGUCUGUGUAGCUUUGGCAUGUAGGUUUGAGAGGGUGAUGAUGGUUGAUUCCAUGGUGUUAUACGAAUCCUUGGUGUAUGGCUUUUAAUAAAUGGUUGCUGGGAUGAUGGUUCCAGGCUUGAGAUUUUGUUUGGCUGGCAAGAAAAUAAAGGAAAGGAAAUGGAGCUAGUUAUUGAUCAA